rnacentral:rRNA from 1 species
GACGAACGCUGGCGGCGUGCCUAAUACAUGCAAGUAGAACGCACAGUUUAUACCGUAGCUUGCUACACCAUAGACUGUGAGUUGCGAACGGGUGAGUAACGCGUAGGUAACCUGCCUGGUAGCGGGGGAUAACUAUUGGAAACGAUAGCUAAUACCGCAUAAUAUUAAUUAUUGCAUGAUAAUUAAUUGAAAGGUGCAAUUGCACCACUACCAGAUGGACCUGCGUUGUAUUAGCUAGUAGGUGAGGUAACGGCUCACCUAGGCGACGAUACAUAGCCGACCUGAGAGGGUGAUCGGCCACACUGGGACUGAGACACGGCCCAGACUCCUACGGGAGGCAGCAGUAGGGAAUCUUCGGAAAUGGACGAAAGUCUGACCGAGCAACGCCGCGUGAGUGAAGAAGGGUUUCGGAUCGUAAAGCUCUGCUGUAAGAGAAGAACGGGGGUGAGAGUGGAAAGUUCACACUGUGACGGUAUCUUACCAGAAAGGGACGGCUAACUACGUG